rnacentral:lncRNA from 1 species
AUAAUGCUUGAUCAUUAGAAGGCAGAAAUAAUUUUUCUUACCACUGUAAAUUACAGGAAGAUCAAGACAACAUGGAAGAGGAGGUUGAGGAAGCAUCAUAUGACGAUGAGGAAUAUGAAUAUGAGGACGAGCUGCCCACAGAAGAGCCCUUUCCCUCUCGAGAGGAGGAGGGCGAAGGGGAGGAGGUAAAAUACUCAGCAACAACUGCUAUAUACACACAAGAAAAUGAGGUAAGAGUGUAAACCUUUCUUUUUAAUAUUACUAAUAAUUUUAAAUGGUUAUG